rnacentral:rRNA from 1 species
AAAUUGAAGAGUUUGAUCAUGGCUCAGAUUGAACGCUGGCGGCAGGCCUAACACAUGCAAGUCGAACGGUAACAGGAAGCAGCUUGCUGCUUUGCUGACGAGUGGCGGACGGGUGAGUAAUGUCUGGGAAACUGCCUGAUGGAGGGGGAUAACUACUGGAAACGGUAGCUAAUACCGCAUAACGUCGCAAGACCAAAGAGGGGGACCUUCGGGCCUCUUGCCAUCGGAUGUGCCCAGAUGGGAUUAGCUAGUAGGUGGGGUAACGGCUCACCUAGGCGACGAUCCCUAGCUGGUCUGAGAGGAUGACCAGCCACACUGGAACUGAGACACGGUCCAGACUCCUACGGGAGGCAGCAGUGGGGAAUAUUGCACAAUGGGCGCAAGCCUGAUGCAGCCAUGCCGCGUGUAUGAAGAAGGCCUUCGGGUUGUAAAGUACUUUCAGCGGGGAGGAAGGGAGUAAAGUUAAUACCUUUGCUCAUUGACGUUACCCGCAGAAGAAGCACCGGCUAACUCCGUGCCAGCAGCCGCGGUAAUACGGAGGGUGCAAGCGUUAAUCGGAAUUACUGGGCGUAAAGCGCACGCAGGCGGUUUGUUAAGUCAGAUGUGAAAUCCCCGGGCUCAACCUGGGAACUGCAUCUGAUACUGGCAAGCUUGAGUCUCGUAGAGGGGGGGUAGAAUUCCAGGUGUAGCGGUGAAAUGCGUAGAGAUCUGGAGGAAUACCGGUGGCGAAGGCGGCCCCCUGGACGAAGACUGACGCUCAGGUGCGAAAGCGUGGGGAGCAAACAGGAUUAGAUACCCUGGUAGUCCACGCCGUAAACGAUGUCGACUUGGAGGUUGUGCCCUUGAGGCGUGGCUUCCGGAGCUAACGCGUUAAGUCGACCGCCUGGGGAGUACGGCCGCAAGGUUAAAACUCAAAUGAAUUGACGGGGGCCCGCACAAGCGGUGGAGCAUGUGGUUUAAUUCGAUGCAACGCGAAGAACCUUACCUGGUCUUGACAUCCACGGAAGUUUUCAGAGAUGAGAAUGUGCCUUCGGGAACCGUGAGACAGGUGCUGCAUGGCUGUCGUCAGCUCGUGUUGUGAAAUGUUGGGUUAAGUCCCGCAACGAGCGCAACCCUUAUCCUUUGUUGCCAGCGGUCCGGCCGGGAACUCAAAGGAGACUGCCAGUGAUAAACUGGAGGAAGGUGGGGAUGACGUCAAGUCAUCAUGGCCCUUACGACCAGGGCUACACACGUGCUACAAUGGCGCAUACAAAGAGAAGCGACCUCGCGAGAGCAAGCGGACCUCAUAAAGUGCGUCGUAGUCCGGAUUGGAGUCUGCAACUCGACUCCAUGAAGUCGGAAUCGCUAGUAAUCGUGGAUCAGAAUGCCACGGUGAAUACGUUCCCGGGCCUUGUACACACCGCCCGUCACACCAUGGGAGUGGGUUGCAAAAGAAGUAGGUAGCUUAACCUUCGGGAGGGCGCUUACCACUUUGUGAUUCAUGACUGGGGUGAAGUCGUAACAAGGUAACCGUAGGGGAACCUGCGGUUGGAUCACCUCCUUA